UUUCCCACUGCAUUUACCGCGACGCUGA
rnacentral:sRNA from 1 species